GGAUGUGAGGGCGAUCUGGCUGCGACAUCUGUCACCCCAUUGAUCGCCAGGGUUGAUUUGGCUGAUCUGGCUGGCUAGGCGGGUGUCCCCCUCCUCCCUCAUCGAUCCAGGUGCGUCCCUCCGGAAGCUGCGCGCUCGGUCGAAGAGGACGACCUUCCCCCCCCAGGAGAGGACCCGUCUUCGGUCAAGGGUAUACGAGUAGCUGCGCUCCCCUGCUAGACCCUCCAAACAAGCUCUCAAAAAAUGGGAUAUAACAAAAUAAGAAAGCAUAAAUACAAAGCCAUAUUAUGAUUGACUUUAAGGACAUUAUUAU
rnacentral:snRNA from 1 species